rnacentral:ncRNA from 21 species
GACAGAGUAAAUAAUAUGCGUAAAGUGUCAAAGGAUGGAACGUUGUAUUUGAACGAAGAGCAAAUGCUUGCGACAUAUUAUUGCGUUCGCUGUU